rnacentral:rRNA from 1 species
UACGUAGGGGGCAAGCGUUAUCCGGAUUUACUGGGCGUAAAGAGGACGUAGGCGGCCUUUCAAGUCGGAUGUGAAAUCUCCCGGCUCAACUGGGAGGGUGCAUUCGAUACUGAUGGGCUGGAGUGCAGCAGAGGAAAGCGGAAUUCCCGGUGUAGUGGUGAAAUGCGUAGAUAUCGGGAAGAACACUAGUGGCGAAGGCGGCUUUCUGGGCUGUUACUGACGCUGAGGUCCGAAGGCGUGGGGAGCGAACAGGAUUAGAUACCCCCGUA